rnacentral:rRNA from 1 species
GACAACUUUUGACGGUGGAUCUCUUGGCUCACGUAUCGAUGAAGAACGCAGCCAGCUGCGAUAUGUAGUGUGAAUUGCAGAAUUCAGUGAAUCAUUGAAUCUUUGAACGCAAAUGGCGCUCUUGGGUUCUCCCAGGAGCAUGUCUGUCUGAGUGUCGGAUUUUAUGGAA